ACCCCGAGCACUGCCCCGACUAUUCCCGCCUCGACCAUGGAAGUUCCAUCCCCCUCCUCUUCUCAGUCCCUCUCCACUUUGAGUACCCCUUCCCUAGUAGUCCCCGCUCCUUCACCCUCUCCGUCCGUCCUACGCCCCCCGCUCCUACCUACCCAACCGACCCCGUCUUCCCGGACCCCUGUCCCCCGGUCGACUCUCCUUCUCCGGUAUCCUCAGGAAACCCCGUGACCCCUACCCCUGCACCCCCAUUGUCCUCCACU